GCGUAUGUAAUCAAUAUGUUUCCUGGGAAACGCUGGCGCCGAACGCUAUGCACGCAGGCGAGCUUUCUGGUAGAAACGUAGCCUCUUGCGUGGGCCGAACCCGGAGGCAGUGCACAACCAUGCCAAAAAAAAAAAAUUACAUCAUUUUCAGGUUUCUGUUAUUCUUUCGCACUUUUAAUAUUUCAGUCUGAGAAGAUUUAACUUAAAAGGUAUGCGCUGUGGGUGUCUUGUUUCAUGACGUUUGCUUGUGGGUUGCCACUCUCAAAAUUCCGAGGAAUAACUUUGUCAAGAAUGUAAGACAAAGUAUCAGCAACUUUAG
rnacentral:lncRNA from 1 species